GCGUGCUUAAUACAUGCAAGUCGAGCGGGGUUACUGCGACAGAUCCCUUCGGGGUGACGUUGCUUUAACCUAGCGGCGGACGGGUGAGUAACGCGUGGGUAACCUACCCUAAAGCUCGGGAUAACAGUGGGAAACCGCUGCUAAUACCGGAUGACUUUAACCUAUGGCAUCAUGGGUUAAAGAAAGAUUUAUCGCUUUAGGAUGGGCCCGCGUCCCAUUAGCUAGUUGGUGAGGUAACGGCUCACCAAGGCGACGAUGGGUAGCCGGCCUGAGAGGGUGUACGGCCACACUGGGACUGAGACACGGCCCAGACUCCUACGGGAGGCAGCAGUAGGGAAUAUUGCGCAAUGGACGGAAGUCUGACGCAGCGACGCCGCGUGAGCGAUGAAGGCCUUCGGGUCGUAAAGCUCUGUCCUUGGGGAAGAAGGUCUUCGGACUUGACGGUACCCAAGAAGAAAGCCCCGGCUAACUACGUGCCAGCAGCCGCGGUAAUACGUAGGGGGCGAGCGUUGUCCGGAAUUACUGGGCGUAAAGGGUGCGUAGGCGGCCCUUUAAGUCAGAUGUGAAAGGCCACGGCUUAACCGUGGGAUU
rnacentral:rRNA from 1 species